rnacentral:rRNA from 1 species
AAUAGAUACCCGGGUAGUCCACGCCCUAAACGAUGUCAACUAGCUGUUGGGGCCUUCGGGCCUUGGUAGCGCAGCUAACGCGUGAAGUUGACCGCCUGGGGAGUACGGUCGCAAGAUUAAAACUCAAAGGAAUUGACGGGGACCCGCACAAGCGGUGGAUGAUGUGGAUUAAUUCGAUGCAACGCGAAAAACCUUACCUACCCUUGACAUGUCUGGAAUGCCGAAGAGAUUUGGCAGUGCUCGCAAGAGAACCGGAACACAGGUGCUGCAUGGCUGUCGUCAGCUCGUGUCGUGAGAUGUUGGGUUAAGUCCCGCAACGAGCGCAACCCUUGUCAUUAGUUGCUACGAAAGGGCACUCUAAUGAGACUGCCGGUGACAAACCGGAGGAAGGUGGGGAUGACGUCAAGUCCUCAUGGCCCUUAUGGGUAGGGCUUCACACGUCAUACAAUGGUCGGGACAGAGGGUCGCCAACCCGCGAGGGGAGCCAAUCCCAGAAACCCGAUCGUAGUCCGGAUCGCAGUCUGCAA